rnacentral:rRNA from 1 species
GACGAACGCUGGCGGCGUGCUUAACACAUGCAAGUCGAACGGAAAGGCCCUGCUUUUGUGGGGUGCUCGAGCGGCGAACGGGUGAGUAACACGUGAGUAACCUGCCCUUGACUUUGGGAUAACUUCAGGAAACUGGGGCUAAUACCGGAUAGGAGCUCCUGCUGCAUGGUGGGGGUUGGAAAGUUUCGGCGGUUGGGGAUGGACUCGCGGCUUAUCAGCUUGUUGGUGGGGUAGUGGCUUACCAAGGCUUUGACGGGUAGCCGGCCUGAGAGGGUGACCGGCCACAUUGGGACUGAGAUACGGCCCAGACUCCUACGGGAGGCAGCAGUGGGGAAUAUUGCACAAUGGGCGGAAGCCUGAUGCAGCAACGCCGCGUGCGGGAUGACGGCCUUCGGGUUGUAAACCGCUUUCGCCUGUGACGAAGCGUGAGUGACGGUAAUGGGUAAAGAAGCACCGGCUAACUACGU